rnacentral:lncRNA from 1 species
CCGAUCUCGCAAACAUUCCACAUAAUUCAAAAACUCUCUCAAUAAUGAAUCUCUAAACACCUAUUGCUCAAACUCCUAAAUCAGAACAUCAUCGAUCAAAAAACAAACAUCAUCAGAGAAAAAGAAGAGAAACCUAAAUCUAUCUAAUACUUCUUUACUAAAACGAUCAAAAUCCACACAGUAAAGCCAUCUGAGUCCACAUAUCCCGUUGAGGCAGGAGGCCGUUGAGGGAACAGGACAACCAGGCUGAAGGUCACUGGAAGGAGAUCGGAAGGGAAAGAAGGAAAGAUAUUUUAGGUAAUAAUACUCAACUUUUAUCUCUUGGUGGAGGUUGUUGAUGGAAUGAUUUAUGGAGGAAGAGCAAAUUCUUAAUCAUGGAACAAACUUUUAAUUUAUAACAUGAAUCACAGAUUUUAUUUAGGAGAAUCUAAAGAAUAUAUGAUAAAUCCAACUACAAAAAUAACAUAUAAUGAAUACAUGAUGAUAAUAGAUUUUAAUUUAGGAUCAUUUAAACAGAGCUCGUAUCUGUUUAGUAAACAAGAACUUGUUAGGACAGAAGACUUACUAGCAGUAGAUUCACUUAAAUUACCCCAUGAAAUAAAAAGAAAAAUUAUAAACGAUAUUGAAAUAGAUAACUUAAAACAUAAUAUAAUUAUGUUAACAAUAGAAGAAGGACUAGAUAUAGCAAAAGCCUAUUUAGAGCAAAAAAUUUAUAAAGCUGAACCUUCAUAUAUCUAUGAUUCAGAUAACGGAGAAUUUGAAAUAUAACCUCAGAAGUAUGAAAAGUAUAUCGGCUGGAAACCUCUUCGGGUUGCGGGCUACUGGUCCAAAGUGCUACUUUUGAUAGUUGUACCUAGAGGUAGAACAACGCCACGUACGUUUCUAUAAAAAAUUAAAGUACAUAAAAACAUAUUCAUAAGACAUACUGGAUAUACACAGAUAUGUUAAUCAUAUAUAUAUUAGUUUGUUGAAUUAAUAAUAAAAUUUGUACUGCACUCUUAAUUUAAUUUUAAGCAUUGAAUUUUAUUGUAAAUAAAGUAUACUAUAUCUGUGUUUUGUUGAGAUUUUGUUAUAAACCUGUAAU